CAGUGGUGCUUGGACAUGAUCGGGGUGAACACUUUGGAGCAUUGGUGACACUGUGUGAUGUCAGCGUCCGGGACCCAGUAGUCAGGACGUGCUACCUCUUUCACAAAACCUAGAUGAAAGAAAUUAUAAUAAAAGUUAAUAAGAUGCAUGAAAAAUAAUUGUGCUCUGACCCUGGCUGCUGGUGUCGGCGGGCCCUCCCUGUCUGUAGCAGGACUGGCAGACCCGCACUGGCCCGCUGCCCCACCCUCGCUCUGGGACGGGCAUCCUGUGGCUGGAGCAAGGGUGACAGAAACCCUCUCCACACGAGCGACAGUGGUGCUUCCUCUCCAGCUCCUCAAACACUUUCUGGCAGCCGUGACAAGCCUGAGGAUCAACAAAACAGAGUGGAUAGUAAACCAAAAGAGUAACUUGGUCCGAUGGCAUCACCUGCAUGUCUCCAUGACAAGCAACCAAGACAACUUUACCAAGCAAAGCAAUAUCACCUUCUGGCAGAC